rnacentral:rRNA from 1 species
CAUAUCAAUAAGCGGAGGAAAAGAAACCAACAGGGAUUGCCUUAGUAACGGCGAGUGAAGCGGCAACAGCUCAAAUUUGAAAUCUGGCCCUUGGGUCCGAAUUGUAAUUUGUAGAGGAUGAUUUUGGUGCGGUAUCUUCCGAGUUCCUUGGAACAGGACGCCUUAGAGGGUGAGAGCCCCGUACGGUUGAAUGCCUAGCCUCUGUAAAUCUCCUUCGACGAGUCGAGUAGUUUGGGAAUGCUGCUCUAAAUGGGAGGUAAAUUUCUUCUAAAGCUAAAUAUUGGCCAGAGACCGAUAGCGCACAAGUAGAGUGAUCGAAAGAUGAAAAGCACUUUGAAAAGAGGGUUAAAUAGCACGUGAAAUUGUUGAAAGGGAAGGAUUUGUGACCAGACUUUUUCUGGGCGGAUCAUCCGGGGUUCUCUCCGGUGCACUUCGCCCAGUAAAGGCCAGCAUCGGUUUUCGGCGUGGGAUAAAAGCAGUAGGAAUGUGGCUCUCUACGGGGAGUGUUAUAGCCUAUUGUAUAAUACCGCGCUGGGGACCGAGGUUCGCGCUUCUGCAAGGAUGCUGGCGUAAUGGUUAUCAAUCACCCGUCUUGAAACACGGACCAAGGAGUCGAACAUUUGUGCGAGUGUUUGGGUGUUAAACCCUCACGCGUAAUGAAAGUGAACGGAGGUGAGAGCCCUUACGGGUGCAUCAUCGACCGAUCCUGAAGUUUUCGGAUGGAUUUGAGUAAGAGCAUAACUGUUCGGACCCGAAAGAUGGUGAACUAUGCGUGGAUAGGGUGAAGCCAGAGGAAACUCUGGUGGAGGCUCGCAGCGGUUCUGACGUGCAAAUCGAUCGUCAAAUCUGCGCAUGGGGGCGAAAGACUAAUCGAACCAUCUAGUAGCUGGUUACCG